rnacentral:rRNA from 3 species
UUGACCUCAAAUCAGGUAGGAUUACCCGCUGAACUUAAGCAUAUCAAUAAGCGGAGGAAAAGAAACUAACAAGGAUUCCCCUAGUAACUGCGAGUGAAGCGGGAAGAGCUCAAAUUUGAAAUCUGACGGUUGUUGACCGUCCGAGUUGUAAUCUAGAGAAGUGUUACCUGUGCUGGACCGUGUACAAGUCUUCUGGAAUGGAGCAUCAUAGAGGGUGAGAAUCCCGUCUUUGACAUGGACUACCUGUACGUUGUGGUACGCUCUCAAAGAGUCGAGUUGUUUGGGAAUGCAGCUCAAAAUGGGUGGUAAAUGCCAUCUAAAGCUAAAUAUUGGCGAGAGACCGAUAGCGAACAAGUACCGUGAGGGAAAGAUGAAAAGAACUUUGGAAAGAGAGUUAAACAGUACGUGAAAUUGCUGAAAGGGAAACGCUUGAAGUCAGUCACGUCGGCUAGAAAUCAGCCUUGCUUCUGCUUGGUGUACUUUCUGGUUGAUGGGUCAGCAUCAAUUUUGACCAUUGGAUAAAGUCUCUGGGAAUGUGGCAUCUUUUUUUAGAUGUGUUAUAGCCCAUUGUCGCAUACGGUGGUUGGGAUUGAGGAACUCAGCAUGCCCUGCAAGGGGCCAGGUUUCGACCAUGUUCAUGCUUAGGAUGCUGGCAUAAUGGCUUCAAUCGACCCGUC